ACCCGCGUACAUGCCACCGGGGCAUCCCGGAGGCAGGAAAGGCUUCGGCCGGACAGGGAUGGGCAUGCGGCGCAUUAGGCAGUAGGCGGGGUAACGGCCCACCUAACCGACGAUGCGUAGGGGUUCUGAGAGGAAGGUCCCCCACACUGGUACUGAGACACGGACCAGACUCCUACGGGAGGCAGCAGUGAGGAAUAUUGGUCAAUGGUCGGGAGACUGAACCAGCCAAGCCGCGUGAGGGAUGAAGGUACAGAGUAUCGUAAACCUCUUUUGUCAGGGAACAAAGGCGGGGACGUGUCCCCGGAUGAGUGUACCUGAAGAAAAAGCAUCGGCUAACUCCGUGCCAGCAGCCGCGGUAAUACGGAGGAUGCGAGCGUUAUCCGGAUUUAUUGGGUUUAAAGGGUGCGCAGGCGGUCUGUUAAGUCAGCGGUCAAAGCCCGGGGCUCAACCCCGGUCCGCCGUUGAAACUGGCAGUCUCGAGUUGGAGAGAAGUAUGCGGAAUGCGCGGUGUAGCGGUGAAAUGCAUAGAUAUCGCGCAGAACUCCGAUUGCGAAGGCAGCAUGCCGGCUCCACACUGACGCUGAGGCACGAAAGCGUGGGUAUCGAACAAGAUUAGAUACCCUGGUAGUCCACGCAGUAAACGAU
rnacentral:rRNA from 1 species